AUUGAACGCUGGCGGCAUGCCUUACACAUGCAAGUCGAACGGCAGCGGGGGAGAAGCUUGCUUUUCCUGCCGGCGAGUGGCGAACGGGUGAGUAAUACAUCGGAACGUGCCCUGUAGUGGGGGAUAACUAGUCGAAAGAUUAGCUAACACCGCAUACGACCUGAGGGUGAAAGUGGGGGACCGCAAGGCCUCAUGCUAUAGGAGCGGCCGAUGUCUGAUUAGCUAGUUGGUGGGGUAAAGGCCUACCAAGGCGACGAUCAGUAGCUGGUCUGGGAGGACGAUCAGCCACACUGGGACUGAGACACGGCCCAGACUCCUACGGGAGGCAGCAGUGGGGUAUUUUGGACAAUGGGCGAAAGCCUGAUCCAGCAAUGCCGCGUGUGUGAAGAAGGCCUUCGGGUUGUAAAGCACUUUUGUCCGGAAAGAAAUGGCUCUGGUUAAUACCUGGGGUCGAUGACGGUACCGGAAGAAUAAGGACCGGCUAACUACGUGCCAGCAGCCGCCGUAA
rnacentral:rRNA from 1 species